GACAGUACCCUAACACCAGUUUUGACAGAAGUAGCUCAACUUCACAGGACUCUCACAAGGGAGAUAUAUGACUGUGUCUACCUGAUUGUCACGCAAGAUACACUGAAGCUCCGGCCUGUUCCUGAGGGAUGUGUCAUGUCCAACCUGGAGGCUGAUCAUACUGCUCUGGUAGAUUCCACGUGGGACUUACGCAAUGGAGACGUGUCUAAGGAUUACAUUAGACAUCUGAUAACCACACUUCCUUCCACCUGUUUAUACAAUCAGGAGGGGGAGGUGAUGGGAUACGCCCUUACCUAUCACUACGGGUGUCUGGGGGUACUGUACGUGCCCCAAAACCACAGAGGAAAGGGGUACGGAAAGGUCGCCAUGUCUCAUCUCGUUCAGAAGCAUCUGGAAAAGAGGAAGGAGGUGCUUGUCAUGAUACAGCGUGAAAAUAUACCAUCUAUUAAGAUGCAUGAAGAAGCUAAUAUAUGAUACAAGCUGGACUGGGAGUUCAGUUAUCCAAGAUGGAGAUACUGACCACAAGUAAGGGAGGUUUGAAAGUGAGUUAUGAAGAAUAUUUGUAUUCGAAGCAUUCCUCAAGGAAUAAGAAAAUCUGGUGGAAGUGCACCAAGCGAUCCAGCACAAAAUGCAGAGGCAGCUUGAUUACCAAUCUUGACAAGAGUGUCCUUAGCUUGGUAUUGCACACAAUCAUGCACCAGACAACAACCAAGUAGCCCUAACCAUAAUUCGCAAUGCCAUGAGAGACCAAGCUGCCAAAACCAGACAACCAGGCCAGAUUUUUGCCCAGACGGUCCUGUCCUGCAAUCCUGAAGUUCGCGCCAUGCUUCCAACGAAGCAACGAUCUUCAAUCAAUCAAUCAAUCUUUAUUCUCUUUUAACCACCCACGGUGGAACAAGAGCAUAGGAUAUAUAGUAUACAUAAAUUGCAUUGCAUUGUUGGAAGAUCGUUGCAUAAUUUACA